rnacentral:tRNA from 1 species
ACCAGUGUGAUGUAGUGGUUUGAGCACUGGACUACAACUCUGGAGACCAGGGUUCAAUUCCCUGCUCAGCAU